rnacentral:tRNA from 3 species
GGUCUCUUAGCUCAGUUGGUAGAGCACUGGCCUGAAAAACCAGGGGUCCCCGGUUCAAGUCCGGGAGUGACCA